rnacentral:lncRNA from 1 species
UUUUAGAUUCCACAUAUAAGUAAGAUCAUGCCACAGUUUUCUUUCUGUGUCUGGCUUAUUUCACUAAUGUCCUUCAGGUUCAGUCAUGUUGUUGCAAAUGGCAGGGUCUUGGAAGGGACUCUCUUGUCCUAAACUUACCCAAAACUUCCAGAUAACCCAGGGAUAGGAUGACUCCUUUUGGGUUUGAGAAUGUCUCUGGAACAUGCUGCUUAAAACACAAGAAUGGCCUUAAAGGUAAAGCUGGAAAAUUGGACACAUGUAUUUAGCUCUCUUUCUUCCUGAAACCCACUAACACAAAAACAAAGAAAGUGGAAACAAAGAAAGCAGCAAAAUGUUGAAAGUUAAAAUGCUGUGGAAGACUGGCGACCGGCCUGCCAGACCCCAUCAAACUGCACACGGAGCCUGCAGUGGGAAACGCCAAAAGCAACUCGGUUCACAUUCAGAGCAGUGAAACAGCGCAGGACUGGUGGCAUCUGGUACCUCUGGAGGAGAGAUUUAUUUUCUAGAGACAGUAACCAGGGGAUUUCUGAACUAGAGAAGCCAGAGAGUGCGGAGGUCUGGGAGGAUGCUGUACUGAAAACAGAGGGAUUAAAGACUACAGAGGAGCAGACUGAAUAUUUGGGUUCCAGCCUUCUUCUCACACUUGGCUCCCGGAACACAGCAGCCAGGCACACACAUUCUUCAAAUAGGGGAUUGAAGAGUCUUCUCUGGGCAUCUGACCAACUCAAGAGGAGAAGCCUAAAGUGAGGGUUCCCUAGAAAACAGUCAAGUCAUGUCACUCCCAGUGCCAGGAAGAAAGCUAUGUGAAAACGAAGGCAGAGAUCAGGGCGAUGUGUCUACGAGUCAAGGAACAGCAAAGAUUGCCAGCGAACCACAGGAGCAGGGAGAGGCGUGGAACAGAGCCUCCCUCACAGCCCGCAGAAGGAAUCAACCCUGCCUCUGGAACUGUGAGACAACACAUUGCUCUUGUCUAAGCCACCCAGUCUGUGGUACUUUCUUUUUUUCUUUUUUUUUUACUCGUCGUAUUUUUAUUUUUUUUAACUUUUAUUUUGAGUUCGGGGAUACACGUGCAGGUUUGUUACAUAGGUAAACACCGGUAACAGGGGUUUGUUGUACAUAUUAUUUUAUCACCCAGGUAUUAAGCCCGGUAUCCAAUAGUUAUCCUUUCUGCUCCUCUCCCUUCUCUCACCCUCCCUGCUCAAGUAGACCCCAGCGUCUUUGUUUCCUUCUUUGUGUUUAUAAAUUCUUAUCUUUCAGCCCCCACUUACAAGUAAGAGCAUGUAGUAUUUGGUUUUCUGUUCCUGCAUUAGUUUUCUAAGGAUAAUAGCCUCUAGCUUCAUCCAUGUUCCUUCAAAAGACAUGAUCUUGUUCUUUUUUUAUGGCUGUAUAAUAUUCCAUGGUGUAUAUGUACCAUGUUUUCUUCAUCCAGUCUCACUGAUAGGCAUUUAGAUUGAUUCUAUGCCUUUACUAUUGUGAAUAGUGCUGCAAUGAACAUUCGUGUGCAUGUGUUGUUAUGGUAGAAUGAUUUACAGUCCUCUGGGUACCUACCCAGUAGUGGGAUUGCUGAGUCAAAUGGUAGUUCUGUUUUUAGCUCUUUGAGGAAUUGCCACACUGUUUUCCACAAUGGUUGAACUAAUCUACACUCCCACAAAUAGUGUAUAAGCGUUCCCUUUUCUCCACAACCUUGCCAACACCUGUUAUUUUUUGACUUUUUAAUAGUAGCCAUUCUGGCUGGUGUGAGAUGGUAUUUCAUUAUGGUUUUGACUUGCAUUUCUCUAAUGAUCAGUGAUAUUGAGCUUUUUUUUCAUAUGCUUGUUGGCCACAUGUAUGUCUUGUUUUGAGAAGUAUCUGUUCAUGUCCUUUGCCCACUUUUUAAUGGGGUUGUUUUCUUCUUGUAAAUUUGUUUAAGUUCCUUAUAGAUGCUGGAUAUUAGACCUUUGUGUGGUAUCUUCUUACAGCAGGCCUAGCAAACAAAUACACAUGGUAUGUGGGAGCUCAUUUCCACAUGCUCCAUGAAGGAAAGACCUGUGUCUCUGAAUCUUCCUCUGAAGGAAGGAGGAAAGGAAAGCAGAAAAGAAAAAAGGGAGGGAAGGAAGAAAAAGGGUGGGUCACAAUGCGCCUGCACCUGCCUUGACCCCAGCUGGAAAAUCUGCCUGUGAGCAAGGGGGCUUAUACUUCUGUAUUUAAUCCUUAUAUAACCAGAACAUGUUUGUGUAUAACAUUGGUAGUUGAAAAAUAAAUACAAACAUAUAUACAUAUCAAAGAAAAGCAGAAAAGAAAAUUCUUCUUCUUUCUCCAAGUCUCCAAAUGGGAGAGUAACUGCUUGGUAAUGUUGAGGUUAAUAAAAAGAAU